GCAGGUGGUGGGCGAGCCUCAAGGUGGCGACCGUAUCUGAUGGAGGCCAGGCAGGUGAGCUGUCGAGGAAAAGGUGCCGCACGCAGGCUUCAGAGGGGAGACGCCGCCUGCCGACGAGAGGUCCGAGAGGUUGUGCGCCGGCUGCCUUUGGGCCUGGAUGCGCGUUUGAGGGGCCGCAGGGGAUGGCGUUCGUCCUCGUCCGGAAUGGGCACGGAGCAGCCGGGUGA